UACGUAGGGGGCAAGCGUUUGUCCGGAAUUAUUGGGCGUAAAGAGCGUGUAGGCGGUCCGAUAAGUCCGCUCUGAAAGCCCGGGGGCUCAACCCCGGGAGGCGGGCGGAUACUGUCGGGCUAGAGUCCGGAAGAGGCAAGUGGAAUUCCUGGUGUAGCGGUGAAAUGCGCAGAUAUCAGGAGGAACACCGAUGGCGAAGGCAGCUUGCUGGGACGGUACUGACGCUGAGACGCGAAAGCGUGGGGAGCAAACAGG
rnacentral:rRNA from 1 species